rnacentral:rRNA from 1 species
AUGAGUCCGGUCAAGCCGGUGGGAGGCAAUGCCGGUAAAGUUGCCUUGGAUGAAGAUACAAUGACUCUUGACAUGGGUGAGGCUAAUAAGAAGCUUCGCAUCACUAGCGAUGGUAUACAGCAAUUAUUUGGUUUCGCUCGUGGUGGUCGUUCUGCGCCAAGGCCGUUAGAGGACGGAUAUGAUGACGCUCUGAUGAAGUUAAGAUCGGAGCUUGACAUUAGCAGGGACAAAGAUAUCAAGACAAAGGAUUUGAGGAAUAGGCUCAAGGUGCUCGUCAAGGAUCCUAGCAAAGAUGACCUUGCUCUGAAAGUGUUCUUCAUUAUUGUGUUUAUGAAGGUUGUGUUGCCUGGAUCUGCCCCGCGUGUUUCCAGAGAGGCAGCAAUGUUUGAGGGUCUCGUCUUUGAGGACAUGGCUAAUAUGGAUUAUUGCCAGCUGAUGGUUGAUGAGCUUAGAAGGGUUGUUGCCAAGUACCAAAGUGGUCAUACCAUGGGGAAGGCAAUCACAGGCUGUGCCAUAGGGCAUGUACUAAUGUACCUUGACUGCCUUAUCCGUGGCAAAAAUGUGGAGCCUGACAUGCAAGUCCCCCGCAUAUGUUACAUGGAUCCUGCCAAGCUUUCUGAUCUGGUUGAUGCAGAUUUGAUAAAAAAAGGCAAUGCAGAUCCAAAGACUUGGGUGUUUGGGAAGCUUCCGGUAUGGAUUUUUAGUACCGUUGUUUCGUGUUUGGUUGAACUGAAUAACUUUGUUCAACUGGCCUGUUGUGGAAAACUCAAGAGGAGGUUGUUUUUUCCGAGUGUAUAA